GGGCUGCAGUUUUGAGGUAGAGCAUCUGUUUUGCAUGCAGAAAGUCCCAGGUUCAAUCCCCAGCAUCUCCA